rnacentral:lncRNA from 1 species
AUGAUCAAGAAGACACAAGCAGUUUCAGCACAUAACAAAUCAGGUAUUCUGGUUGGGAGGGCCAGUGUCAGCGAGCGACAUGACGGACAGAGAGAUGAAAUCUCAAUCCUGUACUCAGCCUGGCUGCUGUCUGUACCUGGGCCUUGCUGCACCAUCUCUUGAAUGCAAAGCAAUUCAAGGAAAAGAGUAACCUCUGUUACAUUAGAAAUCACACGUUUCUGACCCAGAAAGAGAGGAAUUUCACAGUCUCUCAGGACAUGUGCAGAAGGGAGGAUUUCUGGAGCCUAAACAAGAGGAGCCCAGGAGAUGCUGGUGUGAAGGCUCACUGCAAGCACCUGCUGCUUCUGGAGGAGUUCCUGUGGCAAUGCAUGUCCUCAGGAUGAAUAGGUAAAGCUAUCUUGUACUAGUAGAUAUUUUUCCCUCUGGUUUCUACAUAUUUGAAAAGCUACAC